GGAUUGUGGCUCAGUGGCAGAGCAUUUGCCUAGCAUGCGAGAGGCACUGGGUUCCAUUCCUGGCACCA
rnacentral:tRNA from 1 species